AAUACAGAACACCGACUUAAAUUUGAAUUUUAGAUACACAACAAAUCAAAUUUUAGUAUAGGUCUCAUGCAAUAUUUGGGACAUACUUAUACUAAAAUUUAUUUGUUGUGUAUAUGCAGUUCAAACUCAACUGGAGCAUCCUGAUUUU
rnacentral:miRNA from 1 species